rnacentral:rRNA from 1 species
AUACGUAGGGGGCGAGCGUUGUCCGGAAUGAUUGGGCGUAAAGGGCGCGUAGGCGGCCCGGUAAGUCUGGAGUGAAAGUCCUGUUUUUAAGAUGGGAAUUGCUUUGGAUACUGUCGGGCUUGAGUGCAGGAGAGGUAAGUGGAAUUCCCAGUGUAGCGGUGAAAUGCGUAGAGAUUGGGAGGAACACCAGUGGCGAAGGCGACUUACUGGACUGUAACUGACGCUGAGGCGCGAAAGUGUGGGGAGCAAACAGGAUUAGAUACCCUGGUAGUCCACGCUAUAAACGAUGAGUGCUAGGUGUCGGGGGUCAAACCUCGGUGCCGCAGUUAACACAUUAAGCACUCCGCCUGGGGAGUACGGCCGCAAGGCUGAAACUCAAAUGAAUUGACGGGG